rnacentral:rRNA from 1 species
GACGUAGGAGGCGAGCGUUGUCCGGAUUCAUUGGGCGUAAAGAGCGCGCAGGCGGCCAACUAAGUCAGACGUGAAAUCCCUCGGCUUAACCGGGGAACUGCGUCUGAUACUGGAUGGCUUGAGGUUGGGAGAGGGAUGCGGAAUUCCAGGUGUAGCGGUGAAAUGCGUAGAUAUCUGGAGGAACACCGGUGGCGAAGGCGGCAUCCUGGACCAAUUCUGACGCUGAGGAGCGAAAGCCAGGGGAGCAAACGGG